rnacentral:rRNA from 1 species
AACGAACGCUGGCGGCAUGCCUAACACAUGCAAGUCGAACGAUGCCUUCGGGCAUAGUGGCGCACGGGUGCGUAACGCGUGGGAAUCUGCCCUUGGCUUCGGAAUAACAGUUAGAAAUGACUGCUAAUACCGGAUGAUGUCCCCCUGAGAGAUCUUGGGGACCAAAGAUUUAUCGGCCAGGGAUGAGCCCGCGUAGGAUUAGGUAGUUGGUGGGGUAAAGGCCUACCAAGCCGACGAUCCUUAGCUGGUCUGAGAGGAUGAUCAGCCGCACUGGGACUGAGACACGGCCCAGACUCCUACGGGAGGCAGCAGUGGGGAAUAUUGGACAAUGGGGGGAACCCUGAUCCAGCAAUGCCGCGUGAGUGAUGAAGGCCUUAGGGUUGUAAAGCUCUUUUAACAGGGAUGAUAAUGACAGUACCUGGAGAAUAAGCGCCGGCUAACUCCGUG